rnacentral:rRNA from 1 species
UACGUAGGGGGCAAGCGUUGUCCGGAUUUAUUGGGCGUAAAGAGCGUGUAGGCGGCCAGGUAGGUCCGUUGUGAAAACUGGAGGCUCAACCUCGAGACGCCGAUGGAAACCAUCUGACUAGAGUCCGGAAGAGGAGAGUGGAAUUCCUGGUGUAGCGGUGAAAUGCGCAGAUAUCAGGAAGAACACCCGUGGCUAAGGCGGCUCUCUAGUACGGUACUGACGCUGAGACGCGAAAGCGUGGGGAGCGAACAGG